rnacentral:rRNA from 1 species
GAUGAACGCUGGCGGCGUGCCUAAUACAUGCAAGUCGAGCGAACAGACGCUGAUCUUGCUCCUCUCACGUUAGCGGCGGACGGGUGUGUAACACGUGUAUACCCCACCUAUAAUACUGGUAUAUCUUCGGGAAACCGGAUCUAAUACCAGAGAAUAUAUUGAACCGCAUGGUUCAUUGGUGAAAGACGGCUUUGCGGUCUCUUAUAGAUGGAUCUCAGCGGCAUUAGAUGGUAGUUAAGGUAACGGGCUAUGAGGGCGACGAUGCGUAGGCGACGGGAGGGGGUGAUAGGCCGCACUGGAACUGGAACGCGGUCCAGGCUCCUAAGGGAGGGAGCAGAAGGGAAUGUUCGGCAACAGGCGAAAACCUGGCGGAGCGACGCCGAGUGUGUGAUGGAGGUCUUCGGAUCGUAAAACUCUGUUAUUAGGGAAGAACAACUGUGUACGUAAAUAUGCACAGCUUGACGGUAACGAAUAAGAAAGCAACGGCUAACUACGUG